rnacentral:rRNA from 1 species
AACGAACGCUGGCGGCAUGCCUAACACAUGCAAGUCGAACGAGACCUUCGGGUCUAGUGGCGCACGGGUGCGUAACGCGUGGGAACCUGCCCUUAGGUUCGGAAUAACUCCCCGAAAGGGGUGCUAAUACCGGAUAAUGUCUUCGGACCAAAGAUUUAUCGCCUUUGGAUGGGCCCGCGUUGGAUUAGCUAGUUGGUAGGGUAAAAGCCUACCAAGGCGACGAUCCAUAGCUGGUCUGAGAGGAUGAUCAGCCACACUGGGACUGAGACACGGCCCAGACUCCUACGGGAGGCAGGAGUGGGGGAUAUUGGAACAUGGGGGGAAGGCUGAACCAGCCAUGCCGGGUGAGUGAUGAAGGCCUUAGGGUUGUAAAGCUCUUUUACCCGGGAUGAUAAUGACAGUACCGGGAGAAUAAGCGCCGGCUAACUCCGUG